GACGAGGGGUGCAAACGUUAUUCGGAAUGAUUGGGCGUAAAGGGUGCGCAGGCGGCACGCUAAGUCAACUGUUAAAUUCCCCAGCCUAACUGGGGGCAUGCAGUAGAAACUGGUGUGCUAGAGGAUGGAAGAGAGAAGUGGAAUUCUCGGAGUAGCGGUAAAAUGCGUAGAUCUCGAGAGGAACACCGAUGGCGAAGGCAGCUUCUUGGUCCAUUUCUGACGCUCAUGCACGAAAGCGUGGGGAGCAAACAGG
rnacentral:rRNA from 1 species